rnacentral:rRNA from 1 species
GAUGAACGCUGGCGGCGUGCCUAAUACAUGCAAGUCGAGCGAAGCGGGGACGGGUGAGUAACACGUGGAUAACCUCCUAUAAGACUGGGAUAACUUCGGGAAACCGGCUCUAAUCCGGAUACUUAUAGUUGGAUCCGCUCGGUAUUAGCUAGUUGGUAAGGUAACGGCUUACCAAGGAAACGAUGCGUAGCCGACAUGAGAGGGUGAUGGGCCACACUGGAGCUGAGACACGGUCCAGACGCCUACGGGAGGCAGCAGUAGGGAAUCUUCCGCAAGGGGCGAAAGCUUGACGGAGCAACGCGGCGUGAGUGAUGAAGGUCUUCGGAGCGUAAAGCUCUGUUAUUAGCGAAGCGGUACCUAAUCAGAAAGCCACGGCUAACUACGUGCCAGCAGCCGCGGUAAUUC